rnacentral:rRNA from 1 species
GGACCUGACUGCUAUCGGAUUGAUACUAAGCCAUGCAAGUCUUUGUAGUAAUACAAGGCAUACGGCUCAGUAACGCGUAGUCAACCUACCCUAUGGAUGGGGAUAAUCUCGGGAAACUGAGCAUAAUACCCAACAGAUCAUCAAUUCUGGAAUGGUUGAUGAUUCAAAUGAUUUUUCGCCAUAGGAUGGGACUGCGGCCUAUCAGCUUGUUGGUGAGGUAAUGGCCCACCAAGGCAAUUACAGGUACGGGCUCUGAGAGGAGAAGCCCGGAGAUGGGUACUGAGACAAGGACCCAGGCCCUAUGGGGCGCAGCAGGCGAGAAAACUUUGCAAUGUGCGAAAGCACGACAAGGUUAAUCCGAGUGGUUUCUGCUAAAGAAACCUUUUGUCAGUCCUAGAAACACUGAUGAAUAAGGGGUGGGCAAGUUCUGGUGU